rnacentral:pre_miRNA from 1 species
CAACUACUCCCUCCGUUCGGAAUUACUUGUCUUGGAAAUGGAUGUAUCUAGAACUAAAAUACGUCUAGAUACAUCCAUUUUCGCGACAAGUAAUUCCGAACGGAGGGAGUAUGAU